GCUCAGUGGUAGAGCAUUUACCUAGCAGGCAAGAGGGCCUGGGUUCAAUCCCCAG
rnacentral:tRNA from 1 species